UGAGGAAUAUUGGUCAAUGGACGCAAGUCUGAACCAGCCAAGUAGCGUGCAGGAUGACGGCCCUAUGGGUUGUAAACUGCUUUUAUAUGGGGAUAAAGUGGGGAACGUGUUCCCUUUUGCAGGUACCAUACGAAUAAGGACCGGCUAAUUCCGUGCCAGCAGCCGCGGUAAUACGGAAGGUCCAGGCGUUAUCCGGAUUUAUUGGGUUUAAAGGGAGCGUAGGCUGUUUGUUAAGCGUGUUGUGAAAUGUAAGAGCUCAACUUUUAGAUUGCAGCGCGAACUGGCAGACUUGAGUGCGCACAACGUAGGCGGAAUUCAUGGUGUAGCGGUGAAAUGCUUAGAUAUCAUGACGAACUCCGAUUGCGAAGGCAGCUUACGGGAGCGCAACUGACGCUAAAGCUCGAAGGUGCGGGUAUCGAACAGG
rnacentral:rRNA from 1 species